CAUUGAAACACGCAGUCUAGCGCGCGCACACAGCCCAACCACAUCAAAUACAAACAAGGGGGGUGUCGCAGCCGAUAACGGUAACGUUGUCAGGGACAGGGGUAUGCCUAGACGUGGACUUAUCACUAUUUUGAUCCUCGUUUUGAAAAAAGUGGACAGGGCGCCUGCAGGAAUGAAUGCGAUGCUCGUACAAUACAGCUGAGGCCUCACCGCCUUCAUUGGCUCCUGUGAUGUACUGGAACAGUCUCCUGAACGCCAUCGCUGCUCCCACCCCCAUGAAAUAGGCCUCCGCAUCUGUAGAGACCCAGCGGGUCAAACUGGAGGCACUCCUUCGACUCCGUACAGAAGCUGCUGCUGGAGUUACUGGGGCUUCAGGGGGAAUGAGGGGAGAAAGGAUGCAGUAGCCGAGAAACACCACCAACAGCAAACCUGCGAUGAAGUCCCUGAGACGAAAACAAAAAGAGGCAUAACUUGCAAACACACAUAAAGGCCGACAAAGACAAAUGAAAAA